rnacentral:tRNA from 2 species
AGGAGUAUAGCUCAGUUGGUAGAGCGGCGGUCUCCAAAACCGCAGGUCGUGGGUUCGAACCCCGCUGCUCCUGCCA